rnacentral:rRNA from 1 species
AUUGAACGCUGGCGGCAUGCCUUACACAUGCAAGUCGAACGCGAAAGGGGGCAACCCCGAGUAGAGUGGCGAACGGGUGAGCAAUACAUCGGAACACGUCCUGUAGCGGGGGACAACCCCGAGAAAUCGGGGCUAAUACCGCAUACGAUCCAAGGAUGAAAGUGGGGGACCGCAAGGCCCCACACUAUAGGAGUGGCCGAUGCCGGAUUAGCUAGUUGGCGGGGUAAUAGCCCACCAAGGCUACGAUCCGUAGCUGGUUUGAGAGAACGACCAGCCACACUGGGACUGAGACACGGCCCAGACUCCUACGGGAGGCUG